rnacentral:rRNA from 1 species
ACCGGCGGCUCGAGUGGUGGCCACUAUUACUGGGCUUAAAGCGUUCGUAGCUGGCUUGUUAAGUCUCUGGGGAAAUCUUCCGGCUCAACCGGAAGGCGUCUCAGGGAUACUGGCAGGCUAGGGACCGGAAGAGGUGAGAGGUACUCCAGGGGGAGGAGUGAAAACGUGUAAUCCUUGGGGGAGCACCUGUGGCGAGGGCGUCUCACCAGGACGGAUCCGAGAGUGAGGAACGAAAGUUGGGGGAGCAAAGCG